GAUGAACGCUGGCGGCGUGCUUAACACAUGCAAGUCGAACGGAAAGUCGCUGCGGUUGUGGGGUGCUCGAGUGGCGCACAGGGGAGUUACACGUGAGUAACCUCCCCCUUAUGUUAGGGUAUCUUCAUGACACUUGGGCUAAUACCCUGUAGGAGCUUCUGUUUCACAGUGAUCGUUGGUGAGAGUCGGCGUUGGGGGAUGGUCUCUCGGCUUAUCAGCUUGUUGGUGGGGUAGCGGCUUUCCAAGGCUUUGAUGGGUAGCCGGCCUGCGAGGGUGAACGGCCACAUUGGGACUGAGAUACGGCCCAGACUCCUACGGGAGGCAGGAGUGGGGAAUUUUGCAAAAUGGGCGGAAGCGUGAUGCAGAAACGCCGCGUGCGGGAUGACGGCCUUCGGGUUGUAAACAGCUUUCGCAGGUGACGAAGCGUGAGUGACGGUAAUGGGUAAAGAAGCAACGGCUAACUACGUG
rnacentral:rRNA from 1 species